rnacentral:lncRNA from 1 species
CGGGGCUGCUGGCACGUGUCCCUGACAGCGUGCGUGUGUGUAUGUGGCCCUGCGUGUACCUUGUGCACGUGUGUAUGUGUGUGCGUGUGCAUGUGUACGUGUGUGUGUGUGUGUGUGUGUCCCCAGGCACACAACAGGCAGAGAAAGGGCAGAGUGUGAAGUCUGCUUUCUUCCUCCGAGGUUGUCAGCUGCAGUUCCCUCCACCCCGCCUUGGGGGUGAGUCUGAAAGAAAUGAGGUGGGUGCAGCAAUAAGCCUUUUUUGUGGCUUCGCCCACGGCAGGCACAAGUUCCCAGACCAGGGACGGAACCCGCGCCACCGCAGAAACCAGAGCCAGCGCAGUGACAGUGUCUCCUCCACCCGCCGAGCCGCCAGGGAACUCCCACUGAGACUUAAAAGCUUAAAAGCGGAAAGCACCCUCUGCGUUCUUCUUAGGGUGUGACAUCCGGGCAGAUGUCAGGCCUGGUGAGAGCUGCUGUCAAACUCCUUUGCAAGGCUGGGGGCAGGCGGUGUCCUGUGUGCUCAGGACACGUGAGGUCUGGCCCCACUGUGGCCGGACCCCGAGCUCCUGCAAGUCUGGCGGCUGCAUCCUCCUAUGCCCCCAGCCCAGAAGCUGAGUUUCCAGAAGCUCCCCAGGCCUCGUCGAGGUCCAGGCAGAGGAACAGGAUUAGGAUUGAGCCCCCGAGGCCCCAGACCUCAGCUUCCUGCACAAACCACAUGACCUGGGGGGUUGAGGGGCUUGAGUCAAGACCCGCAGCAGAUCAGGAAAAGGCCUCGUGCUGUCUGGUUCUGAGCAGACUCGCUGGAGGUGAAUCAGAGCUCUGGAAAUUACUCCUUAAGUUGCGGUCUUCGGUCUCCGUUGCCUGACACUCGUAAAGUUAGUUUUACAAGCAGCCUAAACUCCCCUUCGCAAUGAUCGGCCGAUGGUGACCAGGCAUUUGCCUAGAUUUUUCUCUCCUCUAAAGGCGGGAUUCCAUCUCUGUACAAUCUGUGAAUUGUUCCCAGCGAGAUGGACCUCAUUUUGUCUCGCACCCCCACUGGCAACGCCAGGGGCUGUUGUGGAUGUGGUUUGGAGACCUGCGUCCAAGCAAUAAAAAUGAAUCUCCCCUGUGACCGUCUGGACGACGUGAGCAGAUCCCGAGUCUGGCUUUAAUGGGAGCGGGAAAUCACUAACAGAUGGCGGUGGCGCUCACAGGCUCCCCGCCUAGAACCCUUCUGACGGCAGCUCGCCCCCCGCACGUGCGUCCCAGACGUGGGCUAUUUGCAGGACGCCUGGCCCCCCGCGAUGCUAAAUGUGUAGCAGCAGGGGGGCUGCGUGUGUGCCGGCUGAGGUCAUGGUUAUUCCUUUCGAGGAGAGGCGUUUGGUUUAUAAAACCCCAGCGACUCCACGGGGAGGGCCUUUCGGGGAAGAAAACCAGCCCGGGGUUCGCUUCCUGUUCCGACGCCGGUGGGAUCAGCGCUGACAUCACUGGCCCUGGACGGGCUCUGGGCGAAGUUGCCUUUUGGAGGAGGCGGCCGUGAGUCAUGGUGAUUUAUUGCAAACCCACCAAAAAUGUGGCGGAUGCGUACAGGCCCCAACCAGAAGGCACAGAAACUGCUAGGAAAUUACAUGAGGGGUCAGAAAUGGACAUGUGGGGGCUUUGCAAGAGGCUUUGGGACAAGCCGCUUUCUGGAAACUUUUGUAAUAUCAAAGUGCGGGGGAGGGGCCAGAAGCUUUCUCACUCCCUCUCCCGAGCUUAGGGUGUGCACGCCCGUGAACUUGUUAAACCGUGUCGGGGGUGGCGGGCGGCGGGGGGGGGGUAAUCCACCCACCACAACAGCACAUCUGAGACCCAUCUUCUACCUUGGUCACAGCUGGCCGCAAUGCCAGAUCCUCAACCCACUGAGCACGGCCAGGGAUCGAACCUGCCUCCUCACCAACACUGUGUCAGGUCCUUAACCUACUGAGCCACAACGGAAACUCUUGUAUUUCUGAUACUUUAAACCACACAUAUAGAGGAGAAGUUUCAAGAAAAAAAAAUCUCAGUCUCCUUUAAUUGGUCAUGUAGAAAUGACGGGGGUGGGGG